AAAUGGGUAAGUGAGUAUACUUAUAUACACCCCAAAUUUUCUCAUGAACCAAAUAAAACUUACUUGAAAUGAUUCCAUUUAUUAAAGUGAUGAUCACAUUACAGAUCAGGGAACAGAAUUUAAAAAUAAAGUGAGGUUAAAAUCAAGUAUUUACUGUACCCUAGAAUUGUUUAUCCAUGCUGACUUGUAUCAUCUUUGGCACUGUGAAAGGUUAACACUCGCCUCUGUGACAUGUUGGGUGUUAAGAGGAGCUUUUGCUCGCCUGAUCACACGCAAACAAAUGGACUUGUGGAAAAAAUUAACACCAUUCAAUGAUCUCUUAGCAACAUGGGGCCAAUAUCUGGCAGCAACCACGUUUGGACUGAGAACAAAAAAAACACCUGACAACACAAUACAGUCCAUAUUAUUUAAUGUUUGGUAGGGAGGCCAGAUACCCCUCUGAGAUACCGAGCGAGUGUGAGAUAACAGACGAUAAAGUGGAGACACCGGUGAAGGAGGAGGUUGUGUGUUAGGGACUUAUGAAACAACAUGGUGUGUAUCAGCAGGUGCAGGCAAAUGUAAGAAAAUCCCACCAAAGGGUAAGGAAAAGGAAAGAGGAGAGGGGCUAGGAUGAUAAACUCACAACAGGAGAUACUGUCUUGC